rnacentral:rRNA from 1 species
GGCGGCGUGCUUAACACAUGCAAGUCGAACGAUGAACCGGCUUCGGUGGGGAUUAGUGGCGAACGGGUGAGUAACACGUGGGCAAUCUGCCCUGCACUCUGGGACAAGCCCUGGAAACGGGGUCUAAUACCGGAUAUGACCUGGUGAGGCAUCUCAUUGGGUGGAAAGCUCCGGCGGUGCAGGAUGAGCCCGCGGCCUAUCAGCUUGUUGGUGGGGUGAUGGCCUACCAAGGCGACGACGGGUAGCCGGCCUGAGAGGGCGACCGGCCACACUGGGACUGAGACACGGCCCAGACUCCUACGGGAGGCAGCAGUGGGGAAUAUUGCACAAUGGGCGAAAGCCUGAUGCAGCGACGCCGCGUGAGGGAUGACGGCCUUCGGGUUGUAAACCUCUUUCAGCAGGGAAGAAGCGCAAGUGACGGUACCUGCAGAAGAAGCGCCGGCUAACUACGUGCCAGCAGCCGCGGUAAUACGUAGGGCGCAAGCGUUGUCCGGAAUUAUUGGGCGUAAAGAGCUCGUAGGCGGCUUGUCGCGUCGGAUGUGAAAGCCCGGGGCUUAACCCCGGGUCUGCAUUCGAUACGGGCAGGCUAGAGUUCGGUAGGGGAGAUCGGAAUUCCUGGUGUAGCGGUGAAAUGCGCAGAUAUCAGGAGGAACACCGGUGGCGAAGGCGGAUCUCUGGGCCGAUACUGACGCUGAGGAGCGAAAGCGUGGGGAGCGAACAGGAUUAGAUACCCUGGUAGUCCACGCCGUAAACGUUGGGAACUAGGUGUGGGCGACAUUCCACGUUGUCCGUGCCGCAGCUAACGCAUUAAGUUCCCCGCCUGGGGAGUACGGCCGC